CUAUUCAACGAUAUUAUGGUGUUUGCCGUACAAGGCACAAAUAAUCGAAGUGAAUUGAAAUGACGCUGGAUCUGAAAACUUUAUGGUUUGAAGAUUUAAGAAAACAAGAUCCCCAAACAAUCAAUGUGAUGCAAUUGAGCUCUACACCCCGCAUCGUCCUUACACGAUGUACGCAUGCUCAAGAUCAGACAAACGCAUUUGGAUUCAAAAAUUAAGAACGGCAAUCGUAAUUUUGCUGUAUGGACCUGACUGCGAUGAUCCUGAUGGCAUGGAUAUUUCCAAAAGAAAGGCGUCUGACACGUAUUUCGACGGUAGUGUUUACUGUGGGGAUUACGUGAACGCCAAGAGACAUGGUCAUGGCGUUAUGGCCUGGCCAAAUAGGACUCGUUACGAGGGAAACUGGGCCGACGAUGAGCGUCAUGGUUAUGGAGAGUUGACUUACUACACGGGCGAGAAAUAUGUUGGAAAUUGGGUGCAGAUAAGAAGGAGGGUCAGGGGAAACAAACGUAUGUGAAUGAAGAUGUUUAUGAAGGAGAAUGGAAAGAAGGAUGAUGCAUGGCCGGGGCGUAAUUAGCUUUGCGAAUGGCGACCGUUAUGAAGGUGAAAUGUCAAAUAAUGAAGUGGAAGGCAACGGUAAAAUGACGUGUUCUGGACAAGUGGCUUGUUUAUGAUGGAGAGUGGAGAAGAAGCAAGCGGCACGGUCGCGGGCAUAUGUUGUUACCAAAUGGGAACGAGUAUAUCGGGGAAAUGCUGAAUGAUCGUAUUUGUGGGUCUGGAAAAAUGGUUUACUUUAACGGCGACGAAUACGAUGGUGAAUGGGUGAACGGCGAGCGUCAUGGGAGUGGAAAUUUCAAAUUUUUCAAUGGCAGUGUUUUUGAAGGACAGUGGAACAGAGAUUUUAUAAACGGUCAAGGAAAAAUGAAUUACGCUAAUGGUGAUGAAUACAGUGGAACAUGGUACCAGAACAUGAGAGUUGGUAAAGGCAGUUAAUAUACGCACACGGUGAUACGUAUGAUGGUCAAUGGCAGGAAGACACUAUGAAUGGAAAAGGUGUUAUGUAUUAUAAAGAUGGUUCAGUUUAUGAAGGAGAUUGGUGUGAUGGCAAGCCGAGAGGUCAUGGUAAAACUACUUACAGGGAUAAACGUCAAUACGAGGGGGAAUAUCAGGAUGGUGUCCGUCACGGUCGAGGAAGACUCCUGUAUCCAAAUAAUGUCCACUAUAUCGGGAAUGGAAAUUAGAUAAGUUUGAUGGUAGUGGUGUAUUCACGGACCCUAACACUGACUAUUCAUACACAGGUGACUGGUGUUGCGGUAUGCGAGAGGGGUCUGGUAUCGAGAUAUCUUACAGAACACGUUAUGAGGGUGCUUGGAAGGCGAAUAUGAAACACGGCGUGGGUGAACAGAAAUCCCACGGAGGACAUAUUUUCAAAGGAACUUGGAAAGAGGACAGAAAACAUGGAUUAGGAGCUCGUAAGUUGAGAUCAGGCAUCGAAGACAACAGCAUUGGCAUGAGGGACAUCUCAUUGACGGCUCGGAGACUGUUGCCGAGGAUUUACCACCGCUUCCUAGACGAUGAUAUUUUACCACGUCCGGAGUCCUGGAUCUAGUGACGCUCCAAGCGAGCGAUUAUCCCAGAUCUAUAGCUAUUUAACAGCCUUAAAGUUGGUAUUAGUUGUGCACCCCCAUACAUUGAAAACAAUACUUUGUGAACAAAGUUCUCAACAGUUUCGCGUAGUAUCAUCACUCUAGCCUUCUAGACCAAAUGUUUAGUCGAAAUACCAGCUAAAAUUGUUUCAAAAAUAUCUUUAUCGCCAUCCAUCAUCGAGUGUUUGGUUAAAAAUAUCAUGUGUUGUUCCCACGAAUCUACAGUGAAGACGUAUAUUCUUUCAAUACUAAAAAGUUACCUGGUGUGAAAAUAAUUUAUUGUACAAAUGUUAUAUUUUAUACAUGCGACGAUUGUUUAUUCGGGUUAAUUAAAUUAACGGAUCAAAUUGUUAUAGAUUUCAGCAC